CACAAACAGAUUUUCAACAGCUUGCUUCCCGAAUGCCCUGCAAAGUGACCAAGCUGCAAGAGCAUACCCUUCAUUUCCUUGCCAUCCUCACGCAUUCUGUGCGGGCCUCCAGCAGCUGCCUGGAAAGGAAACCGCUUCCUUCAGAUCUGCAACCAGAGACCAACUUGUGCCUUUCGUUUCUUCGUCUGCCUCGAGGUCUGUUGGUGCUGCUCCUGGUCCAGCUUCACAGAGCUGCAGCUGUUUUCUGUCUGCAUAAGAGACGAGCGUUACAAUGAAUCAGAGGCCGGCGCAUGAGUAAAGCAGCAGCUUCUCACGGCCUGGUGGGAACUUUGCUGAAGUUGCUUCUCCUCUGGACAAGGGAAGAGAAGGAGGUUCGUGGCAUCCAAGGGUACUGUCAGGGGGACUUCCAAGCUUGUAUUACUGUCAUGCAGCUCAGCAAAGAGCUGGGAGGAGGCACCUUCUCUUUCCUCAUCCCUGGGAAUGAGUCACGAGUCCCAUGCUUAUCUGUCCCGUGGGCAAGCUGCUGCCAUCCUUUUUGGAGGUCAUAAAUGGGCAGAUCAUUGGCCUCUCGUGCCUCCAGGCAGCCAAAAAGUCUCUUGCAACCCCGCUUAAAGGAGCUGCUGAAAGCAGCGCUGAAAUGGGCCUCUCUUCUUGGCAGUUGGACGAUGGCCACACAGUGUCCAGCCGUGUCUGCAGGACCAGAGAUAUGUCUUGUGUGCAUGCUGGGAAAGAGGGCAAGGAGAAGAAACCCAGGAUCAUUGUGUUUGAAGCUGGGAGACAUGUCCUGAAGUCCCUCUGGCUGAAUAACUGUGACCAUCCCACCACCACCGCAGAAGGAAACAGCAAGCUUUUUUGUGAAUCCCUUUCCUAGCAGCAAGCCAGGAAAAACGGAGCGUUGGCUCUUGCUUGGACUGUCACACGCUUGAAUUCAAGCAAUGUUUUCUCCUUUGGCAGAGAAGGAGCGAAGCCACCCUCUGCUUUGGAAGCAGCCUCUGCUUCCCUUCCUGCCUCUCCCUGAGGAUUCCGGGGGUGCCAGCUGGGUCUCAGGGGGCAGCAAGCAGCUCUGUGGGGCUGGUGUCUCUGUGGCCAUGUUCCUUUGGGCAGCUCCCUAUGUGUGACACAGCACAGAGGGAGUCCCCAGAGUUGAAGAAGCCUCGGGACAGUGCUGGCUGACGUAGAGUUUGGACUCAGUGAUCCUUGCGGGUCCCUUCCAGCUCGGGAUAUUCUGUGGUUCUAGGAUCUGAGGGAAGGAGCACUUGUUACCAGGAAGCACGGGUCUCACAGAUGCCCUUUGAAGGUGCUGGGCAGGGCUGAAGUGCAGAGUUCCUGCAGCAGGGAUGCAGCGGAAGCCUGGAGGAAAAGCAGCUAUGGAGAUAACGGCAGCAGUGACAAUCAGAAGAGGUGGGAUCGAGCUCAGCUCCGAGACAACCCGUCGGCUGAAGCAGACAUCUGUUUCCGUGGAAAAAGUCAUCUGUUGCUGUGAUGAGCCUUUGCCGCUCCUUGCCUUGGGGGAGCUGGAAGGAAGGGAAGAAGGGAUGGAGGUGGCUGAUGUGCUGCUGAUCGGGCCUGGCUGUGCCUGAGCCAAAGACAAAGCACCUGUCAGCUCUGCUGUGGGCAGCCCUGCUUUGCUUCAGAGCCACACCUUUCACAAAAGCACGAGCAUCCUCAAACGCACCCAAGCUCCUGAUGUGCUGCCAAGGGUUUCUGCCAGGCUCUGCUUCCAUCGUGUGCGAGCACCAGGGCAGCCUGGAGAGUAAACAAUGUCCUUUAAUAGGAACAGCGGGCAGCUGCUUCUAGUGCAGGCAGAAAGGAGCGUUCCCCAUUCAGAGUUUGCACGGGGGAAGCAGGAAGGCAGAAGGGGAACCGAAAUGCCCUGAUUUGGAAGUAAGUCUCUAGUAGAAGGGCUGCUGUCUCGUGUGCUACGGCCAGGGGAGAUAUUUUUAUUCAGUGGGAAAUAUUCUGUGUCUGCUCAGAGAAGAGCUUCCAGCCUGAGUCUCCCAGCCCUCAGACAGUGUGACCAUGACCUAUGGCAGGCACAGGAGCUGCUGCCAGCUCCUCAGGGCCUCUGUGUGGGGCUGGGGCUGCAGCCCUCUCCCCAUUGCCCUUCCCCUGUCCUGAGGCCUAACCUGCUCCCUGCAGCCACCCCAUUUCCUGUGGCCUACCUUGCUCCCUGCACCCUGCAGGACCGGGAAGGGAGAUGCCAAAGUGUGAACAAGAAUGCAAGCAGCAAAAACAGUGAAGUGUGUGGGCAUCGCUCCCAUUUCCAUGAGAACGAGGAAAAGAAGGAGAUGGGGAGCCUGGCUCCAGCUGUUGGUUUCCUGCUGCACUGUCACCCACUGAUGGGCUCCCUCCUUGGCUCAUCAUGCUUUUCUCCCCUUUCCUCAUGCAGGCUAUUCUCAGUGGAGUCCAGCUGCUUGUCCUGCUCACUGCAAGCCCCAGGCUUUGAGGGCAAAGCACCUGCAGCUGGGGGGCUGGGAGAGGGCCUGCUGCAGGACUGUCAUCAUUAAGGUUGGAAAAGCCCUCCCUGGUGGGAGGUGACCUUUGGGGGACUGGGGUCUCUAGCUGGGAGGAGCGAGGAGAGCACCACAGCAGGCUCUUCACCCCCCUCACUGUGUGUCAUACAGAUUUCAGUCCCUGGGAGAUGUUCUGCAGGCAGAUUUUUUAUUUCUGAAGGGCAGGCAGCAGGGAAAGGAAAGGUUGAUCUCCCCUGGGAUCUUUCUACUUUAUUUUUACUUCUGUUUCUUUAAUCUGGAGGAAGGAACGGACUACGAGGGGCAUAAAUAAGAAGUAUGAGGCUGAAACCUUUGCCCAGGGUUGUGAACGAGUUUGUGCACGAGAGGUGCUCUGCUAAGGGGAGAGGUUCAUUUCAUUUAACCUCUGUUUUGUGCUGGAGGUGUGACCAGAGUGAUCCUCCCCUCCAAAGGUGAGCAGGGAGGCAGGGGACCACAGCCAAGAGUGAGCCACCGAGGGCCGUGAUGUGCCAAGCUCCAAGCUUAGUGCUUUGCUUAUUGGGUUUUCUUCUAAGCUCAGUAUUAACCGGUGCUGAGCAGCGCAAACAGAAGUCAGAAGUGAAGGUUAACGAG
ensembl:lncRNA